UGUCCAAUCUCUCACUUCAAAUUUCGGCCGUUAGGGGGAGGAGUGGAGCUCAUUGCUCUUUACAGAGUAAAGAUUGGCAUCCAAGUCUUAGCCAAUGAGAAUGGGAAAAGGCUGGACUUUUUUCAAGACUUGUAGCAAACAUUUACUCAGCAAACAAAGUCUAUUUAAACAGUCGCUAUGAAUUGGCAUAAACAGAACCCACGACCAAUGCUCCCAAUAAAAACAGGGUUAUUUUGUUACAGUGAAAUGCAGAGAUUGGAGGAUAGUUACAUAAUGUAAAUUAUGUCUGUAAAAUUAUUCCUAGUUACAUACAGCACCGUGAUCUCCAGGCGUUAGUACAGAGGAGUUUGCUAGUCAUCUUCGUUUCGGCCUGGAUUUAAUGCAUGCCACGGUUUUCAGAGUGUAUUCCAUCUCCUCGACCAGCUGUCUAUUUUCCACAUCCAGAUCCACUCUCGCUGUAGGCCCUGAAAUGCCUGACUGUAUAUUCAAGGAAGAUUGUGUGUUGGUCAACUGUUUGGAAUAGAUCAAAUGUUAUGUGGAAAAUAAAUGAGUGAUCUUUCUUCAGCAUUCUAGAAGGGAAGGAUUUCAAGCACCUUUAAUUCAUCCAAGAAGAUAUAUUCGUUUGAAAAAGAAUAAACGCAUUAAGGCCCCUCAGAGUCACGCCCCCUACAAACCUUGUCCUCCAGUACAGAACUGGCCAAGAAUGGAAUUGCCAAUCAAUGUGCAGCAUUGCCCCUUUGAUGAUUGAAGUCAUGCAAAGGUUAUGGAACAUGGUGUACCACUGGCCACUUCAACAUUUAUUGCCCAUCCAUAAUUGCCCUGGAGAACAUGGUGAUGGGGUGCCAUCAUGAACUGUUGCAGCCCAUGUGGUGUAGAGAGACUCAUAGAGCUGUGAGGAAGCAAGUUCCAGGAUUUUGACCCAGCAGCACUAAAGGAAUAACUCCAAGUCAGAAUGAUGUGUGGCUUUGAGGGGAACUCAUAAGUGGUGGUGUUGCUAAUCAUUUAUCCUUGUCCCAGUAUGUGGUAGAAGCCACGGGUUUGGAGUCAGCAGUUUGUUUCACACAUCAAUCCAAUGUUUUAUUUAUACCAUAAAUAAAGAUCAAGACAGUAACAGGUUGGCCAUCAAUUCACCAUCAACCAAUUUACCUUGUGGCAAGAUCUCAAUCUUUUCAUGGGAGUGAUCAGAAAUAUUGGGAAUUGAUAACUGAACCAUCCAGCAACCACUACAACAGUAUAUUGGGCCCAUUGAUAGGUUAUGGAGGCUGAGCGGCCUUCCCCAGUUUUAUCCAUGCCGUAGCAGUUCAAGGAUGAAUAAUCAUAAAGAUUAUAAUAAUGAUUAUAAUAAUUGAAACUGGGAUCACAUUGGCAGAGUUGAAAUGAGAAGAAAUUUGGAGACAGGAAGCUCACAAUAAUCUUUUGUUCUGCCAUCAUGUCUAUUAUUAUCUAUGUUACCUUUACCGACUUACCAAUGCCAUUUAAAUAUUUCUUCCAGUCCAUAUGCAGCUCUCUCUCAACCUUCCCCACCUUGCUCUACAGCUAAACAGUCUCUUUGUCCAUUCCCCCAUUCUCUCUGUUUAACUCUCAGUCUCACAUUUACUUUCUAUAUUUCUUUGCAAGCAUUUUCCCGUCCCUCAUUAACGAGAGAACCCCAGGAUAUGCAGGGCAGUGUUUCAUUGCCUUUGCAGGAAGGUUUUUACAAGGCUUGCUUUCAAUAAACAUGCCAGUUUUUAUCAGGAGGGUAGCUAUCUGGGUGUCACCUCAAGCUGUCCCUCUGCUGGAACACAGUUAACUCCGAGGAACUGAGGGCUGCUCCGAUCAGGAUCUGUCUCGGUUCUCGGGAGGUUCACACUGUGCCAAACGACAACGUGUGAUUGAUGACUUCUGUCAUGACUGUGGUAGGUAAAAUCCUAAUGGCCAAUUAGAUUCACUCUCUCCUGUGCGUGGUAAUCAGGGCUGGAAAGCUAAGGGCUCCUUACAGACAGAGUGAGCACAUUGAAAUCAUUGUGUUAAUGAAACAGUUGAGUAAUGACAGCAUAGGGAGGUGGCAGAGAUAAGAGGUCAGAGGGCAAAAAUAUCCAGGUUCUGAGCUGCCAGCUAAUGAACCAUAAGAGCUGACACUUAUUCAAAUUUUAUCAGAGGAAAAUGAGUCACAAAAUCAGUAGUUGAAACCCAACCAUCAACAGAGCUCAUUAUAAGUGAAAGGCCUUGAACGGGUUGAGGAAGGAAAGGCGCACAGGCCUUGUCUUUAGUGUGUGUUUAAUGGAAACGGACAGAGGUCAAAGUUCAUUAACACAUCUAGUUACUGUGGUCCCAAUCCCCUUCAGAACAAAGCUCUUGAAGAUGUGAGGUUUGUGAAAAGAAGGCAGAAGGAGAGCCUUUGUUCCUAUAAUGCCUUUCGUGGUUUCAGCAAAGUCCAUUACAACCAAUAAAUAGUCAGGGAGUGCAGUCAAUUUGCACACAGCAAGAUUCCACUAACAUCCGCGAUAGGGAGCAGAUCAUUUUGCUGUUCAUGGGAUCUUGCUGUGUGCAAAGUUCCCUGCAUUAAAACAGUGACUACAGUUCAUUAUUACUCCAUUGGCUAUAAUGUGCUUCAGAAGAUCCCAGAAUCAUGAAAGACACCUAUAUAAAUGAAAGGUCCUCCUCUUUCUCUUCACUGUGUUGGUUCAUGGUAAUACUGACAGAAGAACUCCCUGCGCUUAAUGCCUCCAGAAUGUUCGCUCUGGCACAACCACCAGUUAGAACUGAAGAAUGGCAUCUCCAACAGUGUGGCACCUUCAGAUUGGUGUUCCGUGCUCAGGUCCUCUCGGUGCUUAAUUUAGAAGAAGGUAAAGGAACAGAUGGUUUCAUCAAGCAACACUUACCUGACAUAAUCUGCUCAGUUACACACAGUUUGUGUUCUGUCAGGACUACUCAACUCCUUACCCCAUUAACUUCCUUGUUUUAAACAUGAACGAAAGAGCUGAAUUCCAGAGAUGACAUGAGUGUGAUUGCCCUUGUUAUCAAGGCCACAUUUGACCAAGUGUAGCAUCAAGGAGCCCUGGCAAAACUCAAGUCAAUAGAAGUCAAGGGAAAACUGAUUGCAGCCAUACCUAGCAUAGAGGAAGAUGGUUGUGGUUGUUGGAGGUCAGUCAUCUCAGCGCCAGGAAAUCUCUGCAGGAGUUCCUCAGGGUAGUGUCCUCGGCCCAACCAUCUUCAGCUGCUUCAUCAAUGACCUUCCCUCCAUCAUAAGGUCAAGAAGUAUGGAUACUUGUCAAUUAUUGCACAAUAUUCAGCACCAUUCAUGACUCCUCAGAUACUGAAGCAGUUGUGAUGGCUUUAAAAGGAGUAUUUUAUCCUGGAUAUUUUUAAGAAGGAAAAUUCAGACAGAGGUAUCAAAUGGUCUGCUCCAAAGCCAAUACAGUAAACAGCAGUGAGAUCUUGGGUUUUUUAAAGGUUGGAACAAUAGAAGUAGCCUGAAUGGGUGGGAUUAUGCUCCCACAGAACCAGGAUUUUUAGUGUUAGAUUUAAGCAGCUUUUGGGGUCUUAAAGCUGGAUGAGGAAGUUCUUAUUCCCCUCUCUGUUAGAGCUAAAAGCUGGGGUUCUCUUCCUGCUGGCAGAAUUGCCUGUGAGACAAUCUAUUUUACGGAAUUUACCUUUGCCAAGAGUGUUUUUGUGAGAUGUUACCAUAUAUAUUAUGUUAAGCAUUUUGACAGAGUUACAAUUAAGCCAAAUUCUUCAUUUUUAUUUUGUCUGUAUUUCAAUUAAAGUGUAUGAAUAAAGUGUGUUUUGUUUCAA